AUCAUUUAUUGAUAAUAAAAGUGUUACAAAUACAAAGUUAAGCUCUUAAAUUAUAAAAUAUAUUGGCCAAUAAUUGGCUUCUAGGGUACUCAUCUAACACUAACUUGGAUAGUCUUUGAUGGAUCUUCUUCUUUCAAAGGUAUUGAGAUAAGCUGCUCGGUAGGUUCUUCUCGAUUUUCUUCUCCUUGCUAGUCUAACCCAUC
rnacentral:lncRNA from 1 species